rnacentral:tRNA from 1 species
GCAUCGGUGGUUUAGUGGUAAAAUUAGCCGUUGCCAUCUGUUCCAGAUCAAUUCGGCUAGCCCCGGGUUCGAUUCCCGGCCGAUGCA